UACGAAGGGGGCUAGCGUUGUUCGGAAUUACUGGGCGUAAAGCGCACGUAGGCGGAUUGUUAAGUUAGGGGUGAAAUCCCGGGGCUCAACCCCGGAACUGCCUUUAAUACUGGCAAUCUCGAGUCCGAGAGAGGUGAGUGGAAUUCCGAGUGUAGAGGUGAAAUUCGUGGAUAUUCGGAGGAACACCAGUGGCGAAGGCGGCUCACUGGCUCGGUACUGACGCUGAGGUGCGAAAGCGUGGGGAGCAAACAGG
rnacentral:rRNA from 1 species